GGCAGGGCAGCUGAGAGAAACUUUGGCUCAGGAGGUUUAAGCCUUGGGAACCGGGGGCAGGGCGCAGGGACUGGAAGCCGGCACAAAAGCGCCCUGCACCGAGGCACGGACCUCUUACAUGAGACGUGACAGCAGCUUUGUGCCGGAUCACGAAUAGUUCCAAAUACAGCCUGUCGCGUCAGCUCGUCCUGGAAGUACCCACCAGAUCUCUGGAAAGCCCAGAUCUUCACUUUACCUACAAGCACUUGGUGAAGCUUGAUCACUUGUCAGCCGUCACCGCUGAUAAAAGCAGCAGCUGCAUGUUGGGGUCAAACAAAGCACUAGAUAUACACGUGUCAAGUUGUUCAUUGACAUGAAAAACAGUUGCAGGACACAGGCAUCGUCAGGUCUCCUGGUGUGUCGCUGUCAAUCUCCAGGGAUGUGUUAUUCCACUUUGAACGUAGUCUGGAAGGUCCAAUCUCAAGGAAUGAGUUCAGAGAUAUUCACAGCAUCAUCAUCAUCUUAGUAAGAGUCAGAAUCAACAUGGCCAGCAAAAAGAAGUGGGUUCUAUAUCCACUCAACAGAACACACAGCCUUCAUUUCAAAUGACGCUUCUAAAACUGCAGCCAGUGACAGGAAGAUUGAUGCUAUUUCGUUGGAAGCAACACGCUUUGAGCCUCUGCACACAGUUAGUUUUGUUUCCACACCAAUCCUCUCUACAUCACCUGCUCUGAGGUUUCAGCCUCAUUCUUUUUCUUUUAAUCUAAUGCCAGAUUUCAGAUGGCUAUCACUACCUAUAAUAUA